rnacentral:rRNA from 1 species
CCUACGGGGGACAGCAGUGAGGAAUAUUGGUCAAUGGGCGCGAGCCUGAACCAGCCAAGUAGCGUGAAGGAUGACUGCCCUACGUGUUGUAAACUUCUUUUAUAAAGGAAUAAAGUGAGGCACGUGUGCCGUUUUGUAUGUACUUUAUGAAUAAGGAUCGGCUAACUCCGUGCCAGCAGCCGCGGUAAUACGGAGGAUCCGAGCGUUAUCCGGAUUUAUUGGGUUUAAAGGGAGCGUAGAUGGGUUGUUAAGUCAGUUGUGAAAGUUUGCGGCUCAACCGUAAAAUUGCAAUUGAUACUGGCAGCCUUGAGUACAGUGGAGGUAGGCGGAAUUCGUGGUGUAGCGGUGAAAUGCUUAGAUAUCACGAAGAACUCCGAUUGCGAAGGCAGCUUACUAAACUGCCACUGACGCUGAAGCUCGAAAGUGUGGGUAUCGAACAGGAUUAGAUACCCGAGUAGUC